AGAUGUAUUUUUUGCAACUGAGCUAUUAAGAAAAGCUGAAGCUUCCGCAUCUGUUCAAGUAGAUCAAGAAUUUAUUGAAGAGACUUCAGAGAGUUUUAUUGAAGAACGGCUUGAUAGUGAUAAUCUCAACUCUGAAACUCCACAAUUUGAAGGAGAAACUUCAGUAUACAGGUGGAACUCACCCUGCGUAUUAUUAUUAUUGGAAUUAUAUAGGUCUAUGGAAGGAACUCUGAACAGUGGAAAAAUUUCUCAAAAACAAGUAUGGAAUAAAAUAUCCCAAGAUAUGAAAAAAAAAGGAUACGAUGUGACCGGACCGCAAUGUCAUUCUAAAAUACGAAGCCUAAAAAAAACAUAUAAAUCUACAAAGGAUCAUAACAAUAAGUCAGGAAAUAAUAGAAAGACAUGGCAGUUUUACGAUAUUAUGGAUGAAAUUUUUGGCAAAAAAGCAUGGUGCAAUCCAGUUGCAGUUGCAUCUUCUACUGGUCUGUCAUUGAAAGAAGCAGAAAAUAAUGAUAGUACAGCGGGAUCUGAUAGCGGAUGUUCACUAAAAAGAAGAAAGGCGUCGAUAGCAUCUUUACUGGAAAAAAGAUUGCAUCAAAAAGAGGAACAUGAAGAAAAUAAAAAAAAAAGACACUUAGAGCGAAUGAAAAUGGACGAGAAAUUUCUUGAAGUUUUAGAAAAAUUAGCCAACAAAUAAGAAUUUAAAUGUUAAAUUAAAAAAAAUUUGUUUGUAAUAAUUUGUAAAUCUUAAAAAUUUUAUUUAUAGUUCAUACAAUUUACAUCAAAUUAUUAUUUUCACUCAAAUAUUCAAAAAUCCAAUGAUCAUACAACUUUGAUAAUUUUCGGUCCUAUAAAACUAUUGUGAUUACUCCUAACAGGAUUUAUGAUGAGUUUUCUACCAGUUUUACAAGGCAUUCAUAAUAGCAUCUCUUUUAAUAACUCCUGCAGUUCUCCUGACUUCACGUGAAUAGUUUCCAUUAUUUUCUACGUUUUCUUGAUUAUGUUCAGGGAUAGUGAUUACAUUUAACUCAUCUCCUUGUAAAAUGCAGAUAUUGUGGACGACACAGCAUGCAAUGAUGUACUCUGCCAUUAAAUCGACUCUUGUCAUUGGUAGACAAUGUAAUAAACUCCUCAUGCGUCCUUUUAAUAUUCCAAUACAUCGUUCAACAGUCACUCGUGCAGCUGAAUGACGAUAAUUAUAGUUUCUUUGUUUUCCAGUUAAAUGUCCAUUAUCUCGAUACGGAGUAAGUAAGUGUUGAUGUAUUUCAUACUAGCAUA